AGACAGGCAUUUGUUUUCUUCUUUUCUUGUCUUUUCUGAUUCGUUUCUUUUUCCUUUUUCCUUUUUCCUUUUUUU
rnacentral:ribozyme from 18 species